GUUGACGGGGGCCCGCACAAGCGGAGGAACAUGUGGUUUAAUUCGAUGAUACGCGAGGAACCUUACCUGGGCUUAAAUGGGAGUGACAGCUGUCGAAAGAUGGUUUCCUUCGGACACUCUUCAAGGUGCUGCAUGGUUGUCGUCAGCUCGUGCCGUGAGGUGUCGGGUUAAGUCCCAUAACGAGCGCAACCCUUACCGUUAGUUACCAUCAGGUUAAGCUGGGGACUCUAGCGGGACUGCCACCGUAAGGUGAGAGGAAGGUGGGGAUGACGUCAAAUCAGCACGGCCCUUAUGUCCAGGGCUACACACGUGUUACAAUGGCCAGUACAAAGGGCAGCUACCGGGUGACCGGAUGCUAAUCUCUAAAGCUGGUCUCAGUUCGGAUCGAAGUCUGCAACCCGACUUCGUGAAGCUGGAUUCGCUAGUAAUCGCGCAUCAGCCAUGGCGCGGUGAAUACGUUCCCGGGCCUU
rnacentral:rRNA from 1 species